GCGAAGGGUACAUGGGAAUCCCUAGCCACCUGUGGUAUCUCCAGUUCAUGCAACUACAUGCACUGGCCCAUUCAGGGGAAACAAUGGAUCCAUAUAGCCCAUGGGUAGACUAUGACAGUAAAGCUACGCAACCCAGGUUAAAGUUUUAUAUGCAUGCUAAACCCGGUCCCCUGUCCUGGCAUGGUAUAUAUGUAAGUAUUUGGUUGUAUAUGGUUAGAUUUUAAAUAAUGGCACUAUUUUAUCCUUAUUCCUGAGUACAUAUGACAUGACCCAACCCCGAGCCUUAUUGUAAUAGACUUCCC
rnacentral:lncRNA from 1 species